rnacentral:ncRNA from 2 species
UCAGUCAAUAGAGGCGCGGAGAGCGGGGUACUGCUGCGAGUGGGGACAGGCACCCGUGUGGCACAGCAGGAAGGAGCUUUCCGCCGAAAGUGGCAGAUCAGCCUGGGGGUCUGCCGCUUGGCAGCGCCGUGUAAGCGGCGUUGCUGUCAUGUAGUGAUACAUGGAGCGCUAUUGGUCAA